rnacentral:rRNA from 1 species
GACGAACCGUGCGAACGUUGUUCGGAUUCACUGGGCUUAAAGGGCGCGUAGGCGGGCGGUCAAGUCAGGGGUGAAAUCUUUCGGCUCAACCGGAAAAGUGCCUUUGAUACUGGCCGUCUCGAGGGAGGUAGGGGCAUGCGGAACUUCCGGUGGAGCGGUGAAAUGCGUAGAUAUCGGAAGGAACGCCGGUGGCGAAAGCGGCGUGCUGGACCUCUUCUGACGCUGAGGCGCGAAAGCCAGGGGAG